rnacentral:lncRNA from 1 species
UCCUUUUGUUAGAUAUAUAUAUAUAGUCUUUGAUUUCUUCCAAUUAUUGGAGAGUUGACCCUUCACCCAAGUGUGCUCUGAGCUUAAUAAAACUUAUAAUCAGAGAGAGGCUUCCAUGCUUAUAAAGAGAGCUUCAAUGUUGACUGGUUGCAACACCAAAUGGAACAACAAGACGAGGAUAAGUUUCAUGACUAUGGUGCUGAGCGUUUCCUGCCAUAUUCAUUUCCUUCACAGGGGGGCAGUUUGUGCCACCGGUUCCGGGGAUAUAUGUGCAUGUAGAAGGUCCUGAGGGAGUCACCGGACCUUUAUCAUCUAGAGACAUAAGGCUCAGUUGUUCCUUCAUGCUCAAAACCCUACCAGCUUGGUUUGGCUGAACAUGAACCACUGCAAGAAGAAGAUUCAAUGCCAAAAUAAAGUUUAGAACCUUCAUGGUGUGUAUAGGUUUGAAAACUGGAGGAGUUUAGAGAAUUAAUUGAUGUAGCAUAUCAACGGGGAUAGAGGUAUUUAUAUUGGUAGCCUUUCGAGUUGAGUCUAUGAAUUCACCCAUAGCUUUAUUUUACUACUUAAUUACUUUUGACGACUAUUGAUUAUACUAUAUUUAGUAUUUGUAAAAAAAAAAAACAAAAAACUCAUCAAAUAUGAAUAUGCUGGAUUAGUCCAUGGUGUAC